rnacentral:rRNA from 1 species
UGGGGAAUAUUGCACAAUGGGCGCAAGCCUGAUGCAGCCAUGCCGCGUGUAUGAAGAAGGCCUUCGGGUUGUAAAGUACUUUCAGCGGGGAGGAAGGCAUUGUGGUUAAUAACCGCAGUGAUUGACGUUACUCGCAGAAGAAGCACCGGCUAACUCCGUGCCAGCAGCCGCGGUAAUACGGAGGGUGCAAGCGUUAAUCGGAAUUACUGGGCGUAAAGCGCACGCAGGCGGUCUGUCAAGUCGGAUGUGAAAUCCCCGGGCUCAACCUGGGAACUGCAUUCGAAACUGGCAGGCUAGAGUCUUGUAGAGGGGGGUAGAAUUCCAGGUGUAGCGGUGAAAUGCGUAGAGAUCUGGAGGAAUACCGGUGGCGAAGGCGGCCCCCUGGACAAAGACUGACGCUCAGGUGCGAAAGCGUGGGGAGCAAACA